UACGUAGGGGGCAAGCGUUGUCCGGAAUUAUUGGGCGUAAAGAGCGCGUAGGCGGUCCGGUAAGUCGGUUGUGAAAGUCGGGGGCUCAACCCUCGGAUGCCGAUCGAUACUGUCGGGCUAGAGUCCGGAAGAGGCGAGUGGAAUUCCUGGUGUAGCGGUGAAAUGCGCAGAGAUCCGGAAGAACACCGGUGGCGAAGGCGGUCUGCUGGGCAGUUGCUGACACUGAGGCGCGACAGCGUGGGAGCAAACAGG
rnacentral:rRNA from 1 species